AAAGACAAGUGUAAAUGGAUAAUCAUCGCCCAACUGCUCCCUCGGUGCUCCAAUCCAGGCCUCCUCUGGAUCCUCCAGGAAACUAGAAUUGAAUCGCCGGAGGACUGCUCCUUCUUCCUAGUGAGCCCCUCUCUUCGGAUGGCCUCUGAUCUCAACUACGUUAACACCACCUCUAGUAGCAGUGUAAGGGAUUCGUUCGAUAUCUAAGGAGAAGUAUUUUUUUCUUCUUCUUCAUCUAUUCAUCUGCUUCCUUCUUCGUUGAAUUAUAUUUGUUUUUUUUAUUUUUCUCUCUAUUAUUAAAUUACUAAUUCUCCUAUCUGGGUUUCUUGAUUUUCCUUUUUUGAAAAUUUUUAGGUUUUUUCAUGAAUGAUUGCUUAUUACAAAUUUAAUUAUAAAAUUUUGUGAGUUCUUUUUUUCCGUUGGAUUGAAUAACAGAAAAAGAAAAACCUUUCUGUUUUGGGCUUGUGGUUACUGCUUUGGAUUUUGAUUGUAACACUUUGUUGGUGAAUAUUCAUUAAAGAAAACAAAAAUCAGAUCUUUUUUAGCCAUGGAUUUUGCUAAGUCAGAUCAAAGAUUUCCUUCUUUUUUUCAUGCUCUGUUUCAUCGCCCAAAAAAUACUGUCUAAUUCACCGAAAUGUUCGCCUCUGUUUUCUUUUCCUUGUUUCUGUUUUUGAGAAAACAAGAGACAAACAUGGGAGAAGAAAAUCAAAAUAGAAGCAGAAAUAGAAGCAGCAGUAGCUGUAAUAGCAUAG
rnacentral:lncRNA from 1 species